rnacentral:rRNA from 1 species
GCUACGGGUUGCAGCAGUGAGGAAUAUUGGUCAAUGGGGGAAACCCUGAUGGUGCGACGCCGCGUGGGGGAAUGAAGGUCUUCGGAUUUUAAACCCCUGUCAUGUGGGAGCAACUUACAAAUAUAGUACCACAAGACGCAGAGACGGCUAACUCUGUGCCAGCAGCCGCGUGAAUACAGAGGGCUCAAGCGUGGUUCGGAAUCACUGCGCGUAAAGCUUGCCUGGGCUGUUAUGUAAGUCGUGUGGGAAUAGCGGGGGCUCAACCCCCGGACAGCACAAGAUACUAAGGGGCUGGAGUACGGGAGAGGAAAGUGGAAGUCCCGGUGUAGCAGUGAAAUGCGUAGAUAUCAAGAGGAACACCAGUGGCGAAGGCGGGUUUCUGGACAUUAACUGACGCUGAGGCACGAAGGCCAGGGGAGCGAACGGGAUUAGAUACCCCUGUAGUC